CGCGGAGAGGGAGAAGACAUUAUCCACCAAAUUGGAGAAAUGCUAAUCCUUCAUCUUGCAAAUAAGUAAGAACUGUUUUUGUCAGGACCUUCAUUAGGUGGCCAUGGGGUUCCUUUGGAGAAUGGCCGGUACGACAUGAACAAGGAUGUCGUAGAUGACAAAUUGUUGCCGGUCGGCGAAGAUGAAGAAAAUGGAGCAAAGAAUGGAAAAGGCCAAGGAGAUAACCUUGGCGGCGCUCAUAUAGAAGCCGAAGCCUCCGUGGAGGAGGUUAUCAAACCUUUAUAAAUAUAUUCGUAAUAUCUUGAACCCGA
rnacentral:lncRNA from 1 species